UGAAAUGUUGCUGAACCCAGCAAGUCCUUUACGAGAUUACGACAAGUGAACUCCCGGGCCAGCGACGUUUGGACUCUUUUUCUUUCGUGCUGUUUACGAAUUAGUCCAGAAUUUUGUGAAAUCGCAAGAAUGUCUGGCCAGCGAAGGCCUGGAGUUCGUGGACGGCAAGCAGUUGUUUAAGGGGCUUCCUUGCCUGUGUUAUUUUUUAAGCCUUGUGUUAUUUUUUAAGUUAUUAUUUUUUUUUAUUUUUCCUUAUGUCCUGCCGAAGUGUAACCAAGCACUGUUUAAAUUUACGUUUGAUCGUGAUUGCCAUAUGUGAAUCUACCCAGAAAAAUUGUCCAACCGUGAACGAAGAAUUUUGUAUUUAUGUUGUUUAAUACAUUAAAAUUUGAACUA
rnacentral:lncRNA from 1 species